UGGGGAAUAUUGCACAAUGGGCGCAAGCCUGAUGCAGCCAUGCCGCGUGUAUGAAGAAGGCCUUCGGGUUGUAAAGUACUUUCAGCGGGGAGGAAGGGAGUAAAGUUAAUACCUUUGCUCAUUGACGUUACCCCCAGAAGAAGCACCGGCUAACUCCGUGCCAGCAGCCGCGGUAAUACGGAGGGUGCAAGCGUUAAUCGGAAUUACUGGGCGUAAAGCGCACGCAGGCGGUUUGUUAAGUCAGAUGUGAAAUCCCCGGGCUCAACCUGGGAACUGCAUCUGAUACUGGCAAGCUUGAGUCUCGUAGAGGGGGGUAGAAUUCCAGGUGUAGCGGUGAAAUGCGUAGAGAUCUGGAGGAAUACCGGUGGCGAAGGCGGCCCCCUGGACGAAGACUGACGCUCAGGUGCGAAAGCGUGGGGAGCAAACAGG
rnacentral:rRNA from 1 species